rnacentral:rRNA from 1 species
AAGUCAAGCUAAUAAGAGCAUACGGCGGAUGCCUAGGCGCCAAGAGCCGAAGAAGGACGGGGUAAGCUCCGAAAAGUCACGGGGAGCCGCAAGCAGGCAUUGAUCCGUGAAUGUCCGAAUGGGGGAACCCAGCGGUGGUAAUGCACCGUUACCCAUGCGUAAGAGUAUGGGAGGUAGACCCGGGGAACUGAAACAUCUAAGUACCCGGAGGAAAAGUAAUCAAGUGAGAUUCCCCAAGUAGCGGCGAGCGAACAGGGAAGAGCCCAAACCAGCCAACUUCGGUUGACUGGGGUUGAGGACCAGCAAAAUUCGAGCCAGGCUUAGUUGAACUGUCUGGAAAGGCAGGCCGCAGAAGGUAAAAGCCCUGUAAGCGAAAAGCAGAGCGAGAAGGCUGGAAUCCAGAGUACCACGAGACACGAGAAACCUUGUGGGAAGCAGGGGGGACCACCCUCCAAGGCAAAAUACUCCUUGGCGACCGAUAGCGAAUAGUACCGUGAGGGAAAGGUGAAAAGCACCCCGGAAGGGGAGUGAAACAGUACCUGAAACCGUAUGUUUACAAGCAGUCGAAGAUCUAUAUAUGGUCGACGGCGUGCCUAUUGAAGAAUGAACCGGCGAGUUACGGUAACUAGCAAGGUUAAGCGGAAGACGCGGAGCCGAAGCGAAAGCGAGUCUUAACAGGGCGAAAUAGUUAGUUAUUGUAGACCCGAAACCGCAGUGAUCUAUCCAUGGCCAGGUUGAAGCGCAGGUAAAAUUGCGUGGAGGACCGAACCCGUGAGCGUUGAAAAGCUUUGGGAUGAGUUGUGGAUAGGGGUGAAAUGCCAAUCGAACGCGGAGAUAGCUGGUUCUCCCCGAAAUAGCUUUAGGGCUAGCCUCAGGUGUUAAGUACAGACGGUAGAGCUCUGAUAGGGCUAGGGGCCAAAACGGUUACCGAACUCUGUCAAACUGCGAAUGGCUGUACUGUAAGCUUGGGAGUCAGACUGCGAGUGAUAAGAUCCGUAGUCAAGAGGGAAACAGCCCAGACCAUCAGCUAAGGUCCCAAAUGCCGUGCUAAGUGGCAAAGGAUGUGAAACUUCAAAAACAACCAGGAUGUUGGCUUAGAAGCAGCCACCAUUUAAAGAGUGCGUAAUAGCUCACUGGUCGAGAGGUUUUGCGCCGAAGAUGUCCGGGGCUAAAGCACGGAACCGAAGCUAUGGCAUGUCGUAAGACAUGGGUAGGGGAGCGUUCUUAUCGGGUCGAAGCAUGACCGGAAGGACAUGUGGACUGGUAAGAAGUGAGAAUGCCGGUAUGAGUAGCGAAAAGACAAGUGAGAAUCUUGUCCACCGAAAGCCUAAGGGUUCCUGAGCAACGAUCGUCGACUCAGGGUAAGUCGGGACCUAAGCCGAGGCGUAGAGCAUAGGCGAUGGACAACUGGCGAAGAAUCCAGUACCACC